rnacentral:rRNA from 1 species
UACGUAGGUGUCAAGCGUUGUCCGGAUUUACUGGGCGUAAAGAGCGCGCAGGCGGUCGAUCAAGUCGAGUGUGAAAGCCCCCGGCUCAACUGGGGAGGGUCAUUCGAUACUGAUCGACUCGAAGGCAGGAGAGGGUAGUGGAAUUCCCGGUGUAGUGGUGAAAUGCGUAGAUAUCGGGAGGAACACCAGUGGCGAAGGCGACUACCUGGCCUGUUCUUGACGCUGAGGCGCGAAAGCUAGGGGAGCAAACGGG